ACGCUCAAUAUUUUUGGAACGUAACCCCGCGUUAAGCGGGGUAUUACUGUAUAUUUGUAUUAUAUCACUGUAUAUAUGUAGCAUUACUGGCUGCGCAUGCUCCUGCCUAUUUCUACUUUCCCCUAUUUCGACCGAGAAUGUCGGUGAGAGAGAACGAGCACGUUUUUCAGCCGAAAAUUCCGAGUCAGGAACACUAACACACACAACUCGACAACAAAUAAAAAUCCGAUUUUCACAAACGAUCCCACGACAUAUUUAUUAUUAAAUAUUGUUCGUUUUGCAUUCAAUUGAUUCUCACUACAACAAUGGUUCAUCAUUAUUAUCAAUUUGUAGAAACCAUAAAGGUGAUAGUCCAAUUGUAUCAGUAAAAAAGAUGAAUAGCUGUUCGCUAUUUUUAGGCAUUGGUAAUCUUUUGGUUUGGUUUCCAUUAUUACGUUAUUUUGCCUAUUUUCAAUCAUACAACAUUCUCUUAUUGUAACAUUGAAGAAAUCUUUUCCAAACGUUUUGCGGUUCUGUCUCUGUGCAUUUUUAGUUUAUGGAGGAUUUUGUUUUUGUGGUUGGGUCGUUUUGGGUCCUCAUCAUCUCAAAUUUCGUACGCUUAGUUCAACAUUGGAAUGUUUGUUUUCACUUAUAAACGGUGAUGAUAUGUUUGCUACAUUUUUUCCACUGAUGUGAAAAAAGUCUUAUAUGGUGGUUUAGUCGCAUUUAUCUUUAUCUUUUCAUUUCAUUGUCCAUAUAUGUGAUAGUCUCGUUGCCAUAAUACUCGAUGCAUACGAACGGUUCCUAUUUUUUUUUUAAUAACAUGAAAACUUUUUUUAAUUUUUA